GACAGAGGAGAUAUUGGAAGAGACCAACAACAGCGAGGUAGAGGCUACAGAAAAUGGAAAGACAGAAUCUUUGAUUACUUCAGUUGAGCCAACAGAAACAGAAAAAGAAGAACCUGUGGUUACUGAAGUUGAACCUACAGAAACAGGAAAAGAAGAACUCGUGGUUACUGAAGUUUCGGAAAAUCAGAAAGAACCAGAACAGCUUUCAACAGAAACCAAUGAUGUCAUUGCUGUAGAAGAAAAAACAAGAGAAUUAGAAUUGGAGGCAGCACCAUUGAAAGAGACUAAAGUCGACGAAGUAGAGCCG
rnacentral:lncRNA from 1 species